rnacentral:rRNA from 1 species
AGUGAACGCUGGCGGCAGGCCUAACACAUGCAAGUCGAGCGGCAGCGCGGGGGCAACCCUGGCGGCGAGCGGCGGACGGGUGAGGAAUUCGUCGGAAUCUGCCUCUUUGUGGGGGAUAACGUAGGGAAACUUACGCUCAUACGGCAUUCGUCCUACGGGAGAACGUGGGGGAGCGCAAGGCCUCCCGCAGAACGAUGACCCGACGACCGAGUCGCUAGUUGGUGGGGUAAAGGCCCACCAAGGCGACGAUCGGUAGCUGGUCUGAGAGGAUGAUCAGCCACACUGGGACUGAGACGCGGCCCAGACUCCUACGGGAGGCAGCAGUGGGGAAUAUUGGACAAUGGGCGCAAGCCUGAUCCAGCCAUGCCGCGUGUGUGAAGAAGGCCUUCGGGUUGUAAAGCACUUCUGUCCGGAAAGAAAACCCUAGUGCUAAUACCUUCGGGGGAUGACGGUACCGGAAGAAUAAGCACCGGCUAACUUCGUG